rnacentral:misc_RNA from 1 species
GCCCAUCCACGCUCGGUUGCCUCACGGCAGAGAUGCGGACAUUGGCCCUCCGAACCGCGAGGCGCGGUGGGCCUAAGUGUGCGGCCGUCGUAUGUGGCCGGGAGCGGCGAGUGGUGGGCUACUGCGCACGUCACCCCGAGCCCCGUACCGAUACAGGGCCUUGUUUGACCCCCUAACGAGGAGCAUGCCGUCGCGGCUUCUGCUGCGCGGCGCCUUCGGACC